AUUGAACGCUGGCGGCAUGCCUUACACAUGCAAGUCGAACGGUAACGGGCCUUCGGGUGCCGACGAGUGGCGCACGGGGGCGUAAUACAUCUGAACGUGCCCGAUCGUGGGGGGUAACGAGGCGGAAGCUUUGCUAAUACCGCAUACGAUCUCCGGGUGAGAGCAGGGGACCGCAAGGCCUUGCGCGGACGGAGCGGCCGAUGGCAGAUUAGGUAGUUGGUGGGGUAAAAGCUUACCAAGCCGACGAUCUGUAGCUGGUCUGAGAGGAUGAUCAGCCACACUGGGACUGAGACACGGCCCAGACUCCUACGGGAGGCAGCAGUGGGGAAUUUUGGACAAUGGGCGCAAGCCUGAUCCAGCCAUGCCGCGUGCAGGAUGAAGGCCUUCGGGUUGUAAACUGCUUUUGUACGGAACGAAAAGCAUUCUUUUAAUACAGGAGGGUCAUGACGGUACCGUAAGAAUAAGCACUGGCUAACUACGUG
rnacentral:rRNA from 1 species